rnacentral:rRNA from 1 species
AACGAACGCUGGCGGCAUGCCUAGCACAUGCAAGUCGAACGAAGGCUUCGGCCUUAGUGGCGCACGGGUGAGUAACGCGUGGGAAACUGCCUAUUGGUGGGGAAUAACGACGAGAAACUGUCGCUAAUACCGCAUAAGCCCUUCGGGGGAAAGAUUUAUCGCCGAUAGAUGUGCCCGCGUCCGAUUAGCUAGUUGGUGAGGUAAUGGCUCACCAAGGCGACGAUCGGUAGCUGGUCUGAGAGGAUGAUCAACCACACUGGGACUGAGACACGGCCCAGACUCCUACGGGAGGCAGCAGUGGGGAAUAUUGGACAAUGGGCGAAAGCCUGAUCCAGCAAUGCCGCGUGAGUGAUGAAGGCCUUAGGGUUGUAAAGCUCUUUCGGGUGGGACGAUGAUGACGGUACCACCAGAAGAAGCCCCGGCUAACUUCGUGCCAGCAGCCGCGGUAA